GGAAAGAAAACAGGCAUGCGAGAGAGAGCAGCAUGGAGUUGGCAUGUGUGGGGUUGUGGUCACGUUCUGUGUGUUCCAGAACAGCAGGCUGGCGGUGAGACGCUAUUUCCAGUCUUGGUUGUGUGGUCUUUGGGUCCAGAGCAAGCAGGCUUUGGAGGAGUGUAGGAAGACCGAGCCGAUCAACAGGAAGUGAGCAAGUAUGGCUGCCCAGCAAGGGUCAGAAUCUGCUCCUUGCUUCCGGAUCGCCCCCUCGGCCUGAUGGACCCAGUAAACAAGGAAAGGAAGCACACAGGAGCUCCGUGUGUGCCCCACACCGCAAGUCUGGUAAGUUCGGAAGGAAUCGGUAGAGGCAUGCAGUCACGUCUGGCAGCCAGCAGAGCAGAGCCAGAGCAGAGCGUCUGGCCUGAGCCCUGUCGCAGCUGAGAUGUGUUGGUCUCCUGUGGAUUUUGAAUGCGUGCAUCGUGGUGGAGGAAGCUUUGGGGCCUGGGAAGGGUGAGGCUAAGCAGCCACGUGAGGCCAGAGAGAGGUCACAGCCUCAUUUGGCAGUGUUGCUCUUCUAGAUUGCCCAGGUCUCCUGUAGGCAGCACACUAGCACAUGUCUUUAUUCUCUCGGGUUGCUGGGCCUGGGUAAUCAGUUCCCACCCACUGAUCUGCAAACCCAGGGUUUCUCCAGCUUUCUUCUAAGGCUGCUGUGUACUUAAUUACCAGGGGGACUGACACCUUUCUCAAGGCCAAGGCUGUCCGUUAUUGAUUUCUUCCCUCUGGACUCAUACUGAAAGAGAACCUAUUUUUCUCGAAAGUUCAUGCUGCCCUGUAACCAUGAACACGGAGCAAGUAAACCCCAUACAACCUGAUAGUGCCCACAAUAGUGAGCGUUAGGAGUUUUGCUUGCUUUGGUUGGAAAAGCUAUGUGUCUGCUCAUGCAUUUAAUACUUGAUAUUUCCCCCAUAAGUUUGAAUGACUUUCAGGAAUAUUUUCGCUGAGUGUCACGGUAUGCACCUGUAACCCCAAUACUCAGGAGCCUGAGGUAGAAGAUUUGGUAGGAUUUUGAGGCUAACCUAACCUAUGCAGUGAAUUUCAGAUCAGCUCAGGCUAUAAGGUGGAAACCUGUUUCAAAACCCAGUAAUUCUUUACACUGAAAUGGAGAGGCAGGCAUGUGCAUGACUUCAGGGCCAAUCUAGACUACAUAAUGAAUUCUAGGCCAGCCCAAGCUGAACAAUGAGACCCUGUAGUGGCCAUUCCUGGUUGUCAACUUGACUAUAUCUGGAAUGAUCUACAAUCCAGAACUGGAAGGUUCACCAGUGAUCCUAAUCUGGAGGCUGGGAGAUACAAGUUUCUGACCUGGAUUUUGGCAUGGAGAUCUUGCGGCAUGGUGGCUAUGAAUCCCAGAAGAUUAAGACAGGGAGAGCUCUGAGUUCAAGGUCAUCUGGGACAAAGCAAGUCCCAGAUCCCGGCAUGGUGGCACACACCUUUAAUCUGGGCCACACCUUCUGCUGGAGACCUAAUGGAAGAAGGAAGAUUUGCUCGCUCUCUUUGCCUGCUUGCCUUGUGGGGCUGAGCAACUGCUAGAUCCUUGGACUUCUAUUCACAGCUGCUGCUGACCAUUGUUGGGGAGUUGGACUACAGAUAGAAAGUCAUCAACAAAUUCCCUUACUAUAUAUAGAGACUACCCAUAAAUUCUGUGACUCUUGAGAACCCUGACAAUACAGAUUCCAUCUC
rnacentral:lncRNA from 1 species